rnacentral:lncRNA from 1 species
GGAUCGAACUCGGGAUCUUGCGCUUGCGAGGCACACGGCAGAACCACUGAGCUAAAUCCCUGGCCCUGGCUUUAUCUUUUUCUCUAGACCUACAGCAAGGUGUGUACAGGAGCUCCAAAGUAGCUAUAGAAGUAGCCUGAUUCAGUACAAUUGCAUAUGAAAAACCAGAUUUGGAAGUUUUGGAGGAGGUCAAAAGUAUGGAUGAUGAAUAUGAUGAUGACUUUGAUGUUGGUCAUAUGAACCAAAGUUUCUAUGACAAUGAAAUGGAGGAAAAUCAACCAAUACAGACACAGGGAAUGCAGAUAUCCUUGAUUCAGAUGAUGAAGAGAGCAGCAAUUGCAUGUUGUACAAUAUAGUAAGAAGCUCCUAACAAAAGAGGAAGACAAGAGCAGUGACAAGAAUUGUGGGGGGCCUUGCCCCCCCGCUAGAACUCUUGAGUGCCUUUUAUGGACAUAUCCGGGCCUGCUGCAAAUCUACCCGGCAACAAGGAAGUAGCCCCAGUACCCUCCUCUUGCUCCUCCCCUCUAGCCCUACGGUAUAUAUGU